UACGUAGGGGGCAAGCGUUGUCCGGAUUUAUUGGGCGUAAAGAGCGUGUAGGCGGCUAUACAGGUCCGCUGUGAAAACUCGAGGCUCAACCUCGAGACGUCGGUGGAAACCGUAUGGCUAGAGUCCGGAAGAGGAGAGUGGAAUUCCUGGUGUAGCGGUGAAAUGCGCAGAUAUCAGGAAGAACACCCGUGGCGAAGGCGGCUCUCUGGACCGGUACUGACGCUGAGGAGCGAAAGCGCGGGGAGCGAACAGA
rnacentral:rRNA from 1 species